rnacentral:lncRNA from 1 species
CUAAUGCAAGUAGCUGUAAGAGCAGUUGGAAGUCUGACAACGAGCAUUAAUUUUAAUGAAAUAAUUCCCUUUGGCACCCAGGUAACCAGAAACGGUCUAGGUCAGGUGCUAGGAAACACUGCAGAGGACGCCGUCAGCAGGAAGACACACUUCUCCAUGAACAUCGCCAUCCAGGAAGCGAGCUGUGCCUACAGAGUGCUGGGCCCCGAGGAGGCCUGGCACUGGGAAAUGGAUCAAUCCUUCCUCUUAAGAAACACUUGAGAAGCACAUAGGCAACUAUUUCAUAGGAGAAUGAAUAACAAGAAAGAAAGAAAAAGAAAACACAGAAGGGGUAACAGAGAAACUGACUUCCACAGACCUAGAGGGAAACGGUUGUUUUUUUAACGGAGGUAGAACAGAUUCGGAGCGCCUUCGAAGAAGAAAGAAGAGCCCCUGACCACACACUGUCCAGAGACGUGGAUCAGGAGGAGUGCCCAGGUUAACCGGCAAGACGAGAGUAAUCAGCGAUUCGGUGAUGAGGCAGGGGCAGGAGGGUGGCUGUCCAAUCGCCUACGCGGAAGGACGUGGAGGAUCAUUCUGCAUCAGAGCAGGUCCGUGUUGGGGCAAGAACAGUCCAGAGGGAAACCCCAAGACAAAGUCCCCGAGGCGGGAGCAUCCCUGGCGUGAAUCAGGGAGACAGAGCAGAUCAGAGCGAAGUCGGAGAAGCAGUGGCCUUGAACGAUACUCAUCUGGAGGCUACAGACAUGGUUGUGUGAAGCUGACAGAUAGGAUCAUCUGUUUGAAUGCCUCUGGACACCGUGGGAAGACAAAAAAGAUAACUAUUAAAGAAUAUCAAGAGAUUUUGCUCUUGGAGACAUUCAGCCCUUCUGAGUGUAGCGACGUGAUAAAGCGGAAACAGAAUAGGCACCAUCGGGUGCGCCUUUGUCCCUGAUGCGGUGGGAAACGGCUGGAAAUAUGAGCACCACCGGAGACAGGUGCAUUCAGGUUUUGAGGCAAUAAAGUGUAACAAAAACCGGAAAUGGACACUCAUACUAAAACCUGAGGGAAUCCCAGCAAUUUGGUCCAUUUCUUCUAUGAAGAAAUAACUUUGGUUGUUGGUUGUUAUUUGAAGAUAUGUGUUUUCUUCCUCUCUCUUCAAUUUGAUUUGGUUGUAGCUGCGGCAGUGUUUUGCCAUGUGAAGGAUAGGUAUUUCAAGAAAUGACCUACCUCGGUAUUAUAUUUAUUACCUCAUAAUGUGGCUAUUGAAGUUCUGAUGUUCAGACUCUAAAGAGCUCACUGGGAAGAUUUCUGCCUGUCCCAGAAAUGUGAGCGGACCCAAAGCUGCCUGCAGGAACCUGACAAUAUAAGGCUCAAUAUAUAAGAAACAGAAGGAUCAUAUCAGACAGAAAGGAGUGGUUAUGAAGCUGGUGAGAUGAAUGGAGCGAUUUGGAAGUGAAGAUGCUUGGCCCGGAGCAGAGAAGCUUAAAAGGAGAUGUAGUAGGAGUCUCCAUGUGGUCACUAUUAGCAGAGUUCAUGUUCACAUGAGGAAGACCCUCCAAGUCUCUCAUCCGUGGAACUGUCCCUUGAUUGUAGGGUGGUCUCACUGAGCAUCUUCAAGUGCAGGAUGGAUGGGUCUUUAAAGGACGUUAGUGAAAGGAUUCCUGUGUGGUAAGGUUCUUCUUUUCUUGCCCCCAGAGCAGAAACAAAAACUCAAAGAAAAUACCUAAGAUUCUUUUCUCAAAGGAGUGCCAGAAACUAUGAAAGACAACUAAGGAUGGGGAGGAAAAGAGAAAAAGAAUAGCUAUCCGUUCCAACAGGGGAGGUGGGACUUCCGGAGGGAGGCGUGCUGGAACGGGGAGGAAGGAGCAGCUCUGAGACUGACAGCCAAGGAGGGAGGGCAGGGGCUUCCUGGGGCAACCUGCCACCAAGGAGUCCGGGACAUUCACAAACCCAUCUAUCCUAUGAGCAGGGCCUCUUACCCUCUGUGUGGGAAAUGGGACUCUGGGGAAAUUCCAACAUGAAUGGGAGAAUUCCCAGCUGAGCAGGGAAAUGAGAUGAGAACAGCAUCAGACAUGAGGGGCGUAGGAUGACUACUACUGUGCCAGUCACUCAACACAGUGUGCUGUUCUUUCAAGGUACAGACUAAAACUCUGUUGAAAACUGGAAUGAAGCAUGGCACUGCAGUUAAACCUCGCCAGACACUGCACCGUCUGGGCUCUCGGAGAACUAGACCUUCCUUGAGGUGGGCAGCGUGUGGGACUCGGAGCUGCUUGCCAAUGUGCCACCCUCAGGUGCUUAACAAUGGUACUGUGAGGCAGUGUGCUCUGAGAAACGGAGCCUUGUUCUUCAUCUGGAGAACUGUGCUUUGGGCUAUGUCAGGUGAAGCAACUUGAGCAGUGUGGAUGGAAACAUUCCCGAGAGCUGAUCCGAAUGCCACCAAAUUUCAAGCUCCAAGAGGAGUAUUUGUUCAGCUUGAAAAACAUAUCCAAAUUCUGUGCUUGGCCAUUAACUUUUGAAGAUGAAGGUGGUGUCUAUGUCUUCUCCUCGUGCUUUUGCGGAACCCCUGUGUACUUGCAAGUGAGAAACAGGACGACCGCAGGGUGUUUGCUUCUCCCAGCUCUUCGUCAUGAAUCAAGUCCCUUGUAUGAAACAAAUCGUUGCAACCACAAGGAAUGACAGUCUGACAGCCUAGUUGGGUAUUGAUGGGAAUGGCAGCCAGCAAAUCAGAAAUCAUGGCAGUGCAUCCGUGUGAACGGCAAGUUGUGCUUAGUUGAAUAACCGGGAAACUCAGAAAAUCCUGGAGACAAAGAAAGAACAAAAUCAAACAGAUACAUUUCUAUCUAUCCCACACCAUGCCAAAGUAAUCGACAAGUUGAAGGACAACACUGUUCAGAAGUUUUCUAGUACUUACUGAAAUUCUACUUCUUGACACACCCAAGGGUUUAAAAAUCAGACCGAUAAAAAGGAAGCUAAAAAAAUCUUUCUUUUUUCUUUUUACAAGACUAGAUUUCAACAUCCCACAACUAGAAGGACGUGCAACUAAGAUAUACAACUGUUUACGGGGGGGUUUGGGGAGAUAAAGCAGAAAAAAGAAAAGACUAGAUUUCAAUACGCUGCCCAUCUAAUUAUUUUAUGUUAGACUUCCAGGGAGUUUCUGACUCAGUAUCAUCCAGAGGAUGAAAUAAAAUUCAAAUUCAC